CAUACCAUUUGCAAUAGUAGACAACCCAAGGUUUUGCAAAUGGGGUAUGUCCAGGCUUUUUUUUUUUUUUUUGUAGCCACUUAGUCACAGACACUGGCCAAAUUUAGCAUUCAUAUUCGUUUUUUUGCAUUUUUCACACACGAACAAAUAUAAAUGCUAAAUUUGGGGUUUGUGACUAAGUGGCUGCUACAAAAACUGGACAUACCCCAUUUUGAAUACCCUGGGCUGUCUACUUUUUCAAACGGUAUG